UUCUGGACUGGCACAACAUGCGACACUAUGUGCGAGUCGCAUGUUGUGUCGCAGGUCAUGCCAGUUGAUCAACUCUCACUGGCACAACAUGCUGUUAUAUCCUGUAUUUUUGAACGUCAGAUUAUUUGCUGAGGUGGGGCCCACACAUCGAGAUUUUUUUGGGACAUCUGAAAAGUCAUAUGAAUCACAUAUGUGAAGUUAAACACAACUCAAGAAGGACCCUUGGGCCAAAUCAAAGUGGAAGUCCUCCAAACGAAUAUUUUUAAGAAAACGUUUUCGGGUGAUCUGACUUCUAGGGGCAAAACCGGUAUUAUAAGUUUGGAAUUUGGAAAAUACCAAGAAAUAGAAGUUGUAGAUAAUUGAAUUAGCUUUCCAACCAUAGGUCGUGGGUUCCCAGGUGACAUCGGUACAAGGAGAUAUGGACGUUUUAAGGUCGAAAGGUCAGUGGGCUAGGCCCAACUCGGGAUCAACCGAGUUGGCCCAAAAAAAUAAAAAACGAAUUAAGGCCCAAAGGAGAGGGGUGGCCGGCCAUCUUAUGGCCCAAGCCCACAAAAUUAAUAAAUUUCCCAUGUGAUAAUUAAUAUAAAGGAUCAUUAAAUUGUCUUGAAACAUUUAGAAGUUUCAAGACAAUUGAGAAAGAGAGAAACAAGAGAAAGAAGAGCAAGAAUAAGAAGGCCAUUUUCGGCCAAGCUCUAGACCAAAAAAAAAAAAAAAAAAAAUUUCAAAAAUCAUUUUCUACCAAUUAAAGGGUCCUUUACAACUUGGUGUAAUUAUUUUGGAAGAAAGAACACUUGUUUCUUCAAGUUGACAACUUGGUCAAGUGAAGAAGAUUGUAGAAAAAGAUUUUGGCGAACUUGAAACUUGAUUUUGGAGACGUGUAUGAAUCGGAAAAGGUCAACAGGUAGACAGAUUUGACUCUUAGAAGCUCCAUCAGCAGUACUGUGGCAGCGCUCCAGUUGUUCCGGAGCCUCAGUUUCUUGGUACUACUUUUGUGUACAUAUUCGGGCACGGUAGA